UUAUAGGAAAAAAAAAACAAUUAUUUUGUUUCAGUAGUUUUAUCAAUUUGUAAUUCCUAAUCAGGGUUGAAUUGGCAUUUCUAAUCCUAAUGUGAUUUGGGUGGUAAGCUCUAUAAAUAGGCAUAGUUUGCUAUUAUUAUUAGAUUGAUUAUGAUAAUUUUUGAGUGAUUUAAUCAAGUUAUUGAGUAUUUAUUUCUCCUUGUUCUGAAAAUGUGUCUCUCCUCAAUUUGAGAAUUUGUUUCUCUUGGUCCCUAAAUUUCCUGGUUCCACAUCAGAAGGCCUCAGAGAUCAGGGAAAGAUGCCAACCCCGAAAUAUGGCAAAACCAUUAACAGACUAAAAAUAAAAGGAGAAUGCCAAAUAAAACCACUACAGCAAGAAGCCUUCUUCAAUUCAUGAGAAAAGAAACCCUUGAUGUAGCACCAGAACAAUAACACAGGUAAAAUAAGGACAAAUCCUUGAAAAAGAGAACUAAUUGUCAAAUUGUAUUUAUCCCAAUAAAAUGUCAUAACAAAAACUUACCUAAUAAUAAUAGAAAACCUCAGUCCUAUUUAUAGAAUUAGGAAUC
rnacentral:misc_RNA from 1 species